GUGCCAGCAGCCGCGGUAAUACCGGCAGCCCAAGUGAUGUCCCAUCUUAUUGGGCCUAAAGCGUCCGUAGCUGGCCGACCAAGUCUGCCGGGAAAUCCACCCGCCCAACGGGUGGGCGUCCGGUGGAAACUGGACGGCUUGGAACCGGAAGGCUCAGAGAGUACGUCCGGGGUAGGAGUGAAAUCCCGUAAUCCCGGACGGACUACCGAUGGCGAAAGCACUCUGAGAAGACGGCUUCGACAGUGAGGGACGAAAGCUCGGGUCUCAAACCGGAUUAGAAACCCUUGUAGUCC
rnacentral:rRNA from 1 species